rnacentral:lncRNA from 1 species
UUUCUCAUCUCUGGUGAGGAAUCUUUUCUGAUCUUUUGCCCAUUUUUUAAUUGGGUUGUUUGUUUUCUUAUUGUUGAGUUUUAAGAGUUCUUCGUAUAUUUUGGAUACCAGUUACCUGAUGAGCUUUGGAAACAUGUCUCCCAGUCUGUGCCUUGUCUUUCUAUUCUUCUCAUAGUGUCUUUCACAGAAGUUUAAAUUCUCCCAGAAUUUUCAUAUUGUCUUCACAGAAGCUAAAUGUUCAAAUCAUCAAUUCUUUUUUUCCUGGAUUCUGCUUUGAUGUUGCCACUAAAUUGAUUUUUGUGACUGGUGUAAGGUCUGUGUCUAGGUUUGUUUUUAUGCACGUGGAUGUCCACCUGUUCUUGCACCAUUGGUUAAAAGACUGUCUUUGCUCCUUUGUCAAAGAACAGUUGAGGCUGGGCGCGGUGGCUCACGCUUGCAAUCCCAGCACUUUGGGAGGCCAAGGCGGGCAGAUCAAUUGAGGUCAGGAAUUCGAGACCAGCCUGAGCAACAUGGUGAAACUCCAUCUCUACCAAAAACACAAAAAUUAGCUGGGCGUGGUGGCACAUGCCUGUAAUCCCAACUACUCAGGAGGCUGAGGUAGGAGAAUUGCUUGAACCGGGAAGCGGAGG